CCUAAAUGGUUUUAUAUCAAAAGGAAAUCUAUUGCCUUCGUUCUGUAUUCUAGAAUGUGCAUGUGCGUUUGUAAACUCAAGAUAUGUAAAUCAUAUAUUUACAAGAGAUUUGGUUGUUGAGAUAGUUUUUGCAUCAAAGGUCUUUCUUCCUAAAUUCAAACUCGAGUCUAAUUGUAGUAUACAUGAUUAGUAAGAAUAAAUACACCUAUCUACGGUUAAAUACUUAAAACUUUUCAUUUUCUUGUACAUCUCAUCUAUACAAUACUAAAAGUAACAUAUCCUCAAUUGUGGUUGUGCCACGUAGGCAAAAAUAUUCAAAAAACCGCAAUGGAUUUUUCUUUGUUUUUAAUUUGUUUAUCGGUAAAGCCCAUUAGGCCCAGUUCAUUUUUGUGAUUUACCCUAAUUUCUUGUACCACCUCUUACAGUCUCUGUUCUUCCUUCUUCUUUGACGAGAGUGGAGAAAUCGGCGAUUGGAUUUCUCAACGGAAAUCGUUUCAACGCCACCACCCCAUUAAUCCAUCUCUGCGCCAUGAAUUCUUCUUUAAUGGGUUCGUUUUGCCUUUCUGUAUCUCCUCCUAUUUAUAUUGGGUCAUUUCUGAAAGGAUUCAAUACUCUCAAAAAUCUCAAGAACGAUGAAUCCCAACAUCAAGACCUUUAUGGUACUGCGCCCUGAGGCUCUGGACCCUGAAAGCAUCUUGGAUGGCAACUUGGAUGAGGAAGCUGAAGAUGGAAAGGGGAAAUCUGCCGAUGAGAAGGUGAAGAAGAGUUCUGAUGUUGUUGAGUCAGCAGAAGUCUAACGGGGCAAUUGUGGCUGAGAUUUCUUAUCACUGUGUUUUUGGUUUUAUUAAAGACUAUGCAUUGUUACUUUCCUUUCUAAACUCUGUUUUUGCAGGAUUAUAACCAUUUCGGUAUUACUAUCUAUUGGUUCACUUAUCUUUUUUUUUU